UCAUGCACCGGUUCAUGUACGAACACCGAAGUUAAGCAACGCCGCGCCUGGUCAGUACGUAGAUGGGUGACUGCCUGGAAAUACCAGGUGCU